UAAGUAGAGUGCAUCGUUCAAGCCAAGCAAGCAGUGGUCAAUACAAAUCCACCAUGAAGACCUUUCUCAUCCUUGCCCUCCUUGCUAUCUGGCGACCACCGCCACAACUGCAGUUAGAGUUCCAGUGCCACAAUUGCAGCCACAAAAUCCAUCUCAGCAACAACCACAAGAGCAAGUUCCAUUGGUGCAACAACAACAAUUUCUAGGGCAGCAAUAACCAUUUCGACCACAACAACCAUAUCCACAGCCGCAACCAUUUCCUCCACAACUACCAUGUCCGCAGCCGCAACCAUUUCCACCACAACAAUCAUAUCCACAACCACAACCACAGUAUCCGCAACCACAACAAACAAUUUCGCAGCAACAAGCACAACAACAACAAUGACAACAACAA